GAUGAACGCUGGCGGCGUGCCUAAUACAUGCAAGUCGAGCGACCGGACGAGAAGCUUUCUUUCCUGAUGUUAGCGGCGGACGGGCGAGUAACACGUGGAUAACCUACUUAUUAGUCUUGGAGAACUUCGGGAAACCGGAUCCACUAAUGGAUCAUACUUUGAACCGGAGGGUUCAAAAGUGCAUGACGGUUUUGCUGUCACUUUUAGAUGGAUCCGCGCUGCAUUAGCUAGUUGGUAAGGUAACGGCUUACCAAGGCAACGAUGCAUAGCCGACCUGAGAGGGUGAUCGGCCACACUGGAACUGAGACACGGUCCAGACUCCUACGGGAGGCAGCAGUAGGGAAUCUUCCGCAAUGGGCGAAAGCCUGACGGAGCAACGCCGCGUGAGUGAUGAAGGUCUUCGGGUCGUAAAGCUCUGUUAUUAGGGAAGAACAUAUGUGUAAGUAACUGUGCACAUCCUGACGGUACCUAAUCAGAAAGCCACGGCUAACUACGUG
rnacentral:rRNA from 1 species